rnacentral:rRNA from 1 species
GACGAACGCUGGCGGCGUGCCUAAUACAUGCAAGUUGAGCGAUGAAGAUUGGUGCUUGCACCAAUUUGAAGAGCAGCGAACGGGUGAGUAACGCGUGGGGAAUCUGCCUUUGAGCGGGGGACAACAUUUGGAAACGAAUGCUAAUACCGCAUAACAACUUUAAACAUAAGUUUUAAGUUUGAAAGAUGCAAUUGCAUCACUCAAAGAUGAUCCCGCGUUGUAUUAGCUAGUUGGUGAGGUAAAGGCUCACCAAGGCGAUGAGACAUAGCCGACCUGAGAGGGUGGACGGCCACCUUGGGUCUGAGGCACGGCCCCAACUCCUGCGGGGGGCCGCAGUCGGGAAUCUUCCGCGAUGGAGCAAAGUCGGACCGAGCAACGCCGCCUGAGGGCAGAAGGUUUUCGGAUCGUUAAACUCUGUUGGUAGUGAAGAACGUUGGUGAGAGUGGAAAGGUUAUCAAGUGCCGGUACCUAACCAGAAAGGGACGGCUAACUACGU